UACGCCUCUUUGAGGAAAAAAGGGUGCUUGGUUUCAUUUCUCAUUUUCUAUGAAAAAUCGUGAUCCACGAAAAUUCAACGGUCUGAUCUUCAAUCCGUCUUCAGAAACGUAAUCCUUGCACUCGGAUCUACAUUUUCACCGAUCGUUUUGAGGUAAUGGGUUACUUGAAACUUGCUUGAGGCUACCCAAACCAUGGGUUUUGGUUUGGUGAAUUUUUAUGAUACAUUGGAAGGUGGCGUCUAGGAGACCUAAGCUUGAUAUCUGCGCAGCCAGACUCUGAUGCUUUGACUGUAGGUUCAGUGGAUCUAAUGAAUGACAUCGUAGCAUAGUACUUGGGAUGUUAUGACUAAAGCGACGUGACAGUUAUAAUGGUUGGACCAUGGGUUGUCCGCCUUUUGGUAGACUUUGUUUAUGGCUUGUAUCGCAUGUGACACUUGUAUUUAUGAGCUAGUCUUUUGGUAUGUAUUUAAUAGCUAUGUAGAAGCCUUAAACAGAUAGACAUAUUAAUGGCUCUUUUGUUGUGAUUAACUGUUGUUUAUAGAUGUACCUUCUGCUAUAUUGAUAAUGUUAUUAUGUGUUA